rnacentral:rRNA from 1 species
CACGUAGGCACCAAGCGUUGUCCGGAUUUAUUGGGCGUAAAGAGCUCGUAGGCGGUUCGGUAAGUCGGGUGUGAAAACUCUGGGCUCAACCCAGAGCCGCCACCCGAUACUGCUGUGACUUGAGUGCGGUAGGGGAGCGGGGGAAUUCCUGGUGUAGCGGUGAAAUGCGCAGAUAUCAGGAGGAACACCAGUGGCGAAGGCGCCGCUCUGGGCCGUGACUGACGCUGAGGAGCGAAAGCGUGGGUAGCAAACAGG